GCAGAACGUUCUCUUGGAUGGUUGGCAUCUCCCACACUUCUGAAUGUGUUAAUCCUUGUUUAACCUCGGGAAGGCAGAGUCUCCUGACUGUGGCCACCAUUUCUGGUACAGUAGUGUCCCCUGUCUAUGUACUGACAGCCCAUGGCAUACUAUACUGAAAUGACCUCUUUGGCCGUCUGGUCCACAUGCUCACUUGUGGGUCCUAUGGUGCUGUCUUAGUCUAACUUCCCUUGACCGCUUCUACUUCAAGAUAAACACACUUUCUCAAUUAUCUGCUUCAAUACCCAGUAUCCCGGAAGGAAGGAAUAUCAACCAUUCAGCAACAGAUUCCAAGAUUAAGUGCAUGAGCAAGAGUUUGAUCAAGUCUCCAUGGUGACGUGCUACAAAGAAGACACUGUUGGAUAAGAUCAAAUGGGAAUAGAAUUGCAAAGCAGGCACAGUUCCAGAAGCUUCCUUGUCUUUUGGAUGAUAAGAGAGAGAUGAUUUGAAAAAUCAAAUAGCCAAGUCUUUGAAGUUUUAGGAUUUCAGUUGGCUCACGCGCCAUGCUUUCUCGUGGCUAUGAGGAGUUCAAGCUGUUUGAGGUAGGAAGGGAGAGAAGAUUGAAGAAGGAAGCGUUUGGGAAAGAGGAGGUCCAAGCAGAUGCUGAGAGUUUCCCAUCUGUCUACCUCUCCCCGCUCUCCUAGUCUGUCAUCCGUCCUCCCAUUGUCACUUCAUUUGCCCCGGAGUCAUCCUUGAAGUCCUCACCCCAUGACCAACCAUCCUCACCUUACAACAUUCAUCCACGUUCGCAGAAGCUCUGCCUCUGUUUUCUCAGGGCGAAAAUCCUUAACAGUAUGUUACAGAUGAAGAAACAGAUUUUCAGAGAGGCAAGCAACUGAUCAAGCUCGUGUAGUCAAGCAACAAAGCUAGAGUCCUACCCAGCUGCUUAGGGAUGACACCUGUUGGUGGCAGGAACCAAAAGACACUUUGAGAAAUGCAGCUUUACCCAGCUGACUGAGAUCAGGGAAGAAUCCGAGAUCUUCCGCUCCCUUACCGGUUGCCCCUCGCUGAAGACAGCUCUCUAAAUUCACUUGCCGCCGGCCAUUACAUAUCCAAACUACUGAAAGAUUACUUUUGCUUUCUUUUCCAUCCCUUUAUUAUCUGCUCAUUUCAAAUAUCGAUUAAGCACCCCUGUGUGCCAGGCACUGUUCAAAUUUCUGAGUACAUAGCAAUAAACAAAACAGCCAAUAA
rnacentral:lncRNA from 1 species